CGUAAGGCGCCGAAUGAGUCAUUAAAAAAUUAACAUCAUCCGAUCCCUAGUCGGCAUAGUUUAUGGUUAAGACUACGACGGUAUCUGAUCGUCUUCGAUCCCCCUAACUUUCGUUCUUGAUUAAUGAAAACAUCCUUGGCAAAUGCUUUCGCAGUAGUUAGUCUUCAAUAAAUCCAAGAAUUUCACCUCUGACAAUUGAAUGCUAAUGCCCCCAACUAUCCCUAUUAAUCAUUACGUCGAUCCUAGUAAACCAACAAAAUAGAAUCAAACGUCCUAUUUCAUUAUUCCAUGCUAAUGUAUUCAAGCGCGAGCCUGCUUUAAACACUCUAAUUUUUCAAGUAACGGUCCUGAUUCCCCAUGACACCAAAUUAAUGACAUCAUGGUUCUUCAGAAGGGAGAAAUCAAAAUUGCCAGUACGUACCGAGGCACGACCAACAAAUUGAUCUCGAAAUUCAACUACGAGCUUUUUAACUGCAACAACUUUAAUAUACGCUA
rnacentral:rRNA from 1 species